UCCGGUUUGUCACCGGCAGUCCCCCAUGAGUCCCCGGCAUUACCCGCUGGCAACAUGGAACGAGGGUUGCGCUCGUUGCGGGACUUAACCCAACAUCUCACGACACGAGCUGACGACAGCCAUGCACCACCUGUGACCGCCCCCGAAGGACACCACAUCUCUGUGGUUUUAGCGGCCAUGUCAAACCCAGGUAAGGUUCUUCGCGUCGCAUCGAAUUAAUCCGCAUGCUCCGCCGCUUGUGCGGGCCCCCGUCAAUUCCUUUGAGUUUCAGCCUUGCGGCCGUACUCCCCAGGCGGGGCACUUCAUGCGUUAGCGCCGGUACUCCAAGGGUCGCUCCCCGGAGCACCUAGUGCCCAUCGUUUACGGCGUGGACUAC
rnacentral:misc_RNA from 1 species